rnacentral:rRNA from 1 species
CCUACGGGAGGCAGCAGUGGGGAAUAUUGGACAAUGGGGGCAACCCUGAUCCAGCCAUGCCGCGUGUGUGAAGAAGGCCUUCGGGUUGUAAAGCACUUUCAGUGAGGAAGAAGGCCUGCGGGUCAAUAACCGGCAGGAAGGACAUCACUCACAGAAGAAGCACCGGCUAACUCCGUGCCAGCAGCCGCGGUAAUACGGAGGGUGCGAGCGUUAAUCGGAAUUACUGGGCGUAAAGCGCGCGUAGGUGGCUUGAUAAGCCGGUUGUGAAAGCCCCGGGCUCAACCUGGGAACGGCAUCCGGAACUGUCAGGCUAGAGUGCAGGAGAGGAAGGUAGAAUUCCCGGUGUAGCGGUGAAAUGCGUAGAGAUCGGGAGGAAUACCAGUGGCGAAGGCGGCCUUCUGGACUGACACUGACACUGAGGUGCGAAAGCGUGGGUAGCAAACAGGAUUAGAUACCCGAGUAGUC